GACGAACGCUGGUGGCGUGCCUAAUACAUGCAAGUAGAACGCUGAAGGAGGAGCUUGCUCUUCUGGAUGAGUUGCGAACGGGUGAGUAACGCGUAGGUAACCUGCCUGGUAGCGGGGGAUAACUAUUGGAAACGAUAGCUAAUACCGCAUAAGAGUAGAUGUUGCAUGACAUUUGCUUAAAAGGUGCAAUUGCAUCACUACCAGAUGGACCUGCGUUGUAUUAGCUAGUUGGUGGGGUAACGGCUCACCAAGGCGACGAUACAUAGCCGACCUGAGAGGGUGAUCGGCCACACUGGGACUGAGACACGGCCCAGACUCCUACGGGAGGCAGCAGUAGGGAAUCUUCGGCAAUGGACGGAAGUCUGACCGAGCAACGCCGCGUGUGUGAAGAAGGUUUUCGGAUCGUAAAGCUCUGUUGUAAGAGAAGAACGAGUGUGAGAGUGGAAAGUUCACACUGUGACGGUAUCUUACCAGAAAGGGACGGCUAACUACGUG
rnacentral:rRNA from 1 species